CCCUUUCUGUAAAGAAGUGUUUCCUAAUGUCCAACCUAAAUUUUCCUUGGCACAAUUGAGGCUGUUUCCCCUCAUCCUGUCACCAGUGAAAAGAGGCUUGCCCCGCUCUCACUGUAAGCACCUUACAGAUACUGGAAGAGAGCAAUCGGGUCUCCCCUCAGCCUCCUUUUCCCUGGACAAAGCAGCCCCAGCUCCCUCAGCCUCUCUUCAUAGGGCUGAUUUUCCAAGCCCUUCACAAGCUUUGCUUGCUCCUUGGGCCCAGCCAUUUGGCCAUUGCUUCACCCAGGGGAGCAUACGCCCAUCCAGACCAUGUGCACCCAGCCCAUGUUAUGGGGGGCAGUGUCAAAGGCCUUACUGAAGUCCAGGUAAACCACAUUGACAGCCUUACCCUCAUCCACCGGCCGGGGCACCUUGUUAUGGAAUGAAAUCAGGUUUGUCAGACAGGAUCUACUAUUCAUAAACCCAUGCUGACUAAGCCUGAUCCCCUGGCCGACCUUUUAUUGGUCCGUGAUGGUUCUUGAGAUUAUUCAUUCCAUAACUUUCCCAGACAUCAAGGUGAGACUGAUAGGCCUUCAGCUACCAGGAUCAUCUUUCUGUCCCUUUUUGAAGAUGGGCAUCACAUUUUCCAGCCUUCAAUCCUCUGGGAUGUUCCUGGUCAGCCAGGACUGCUGAAAAAUGAUGGAGAGUGGUUUUGCAACCACAUCCCUCAGCACAGGUGAGGAAGAGCUUAUUUUUAAUGAGUUUUCUUUUUUUGUCUGAUAGAAAUGAAUGGGUUCCCAGAUGCUUUGUCCCUUCAUAUGGAAUUUCCUUACCAAGAACUGGAUAGUGUAGGGAUACAGACUGGUUCUGCUGUGCCAUAAGCUCUUUGCUCCCUCGCUGGGUUAUGUUUGCACUUGGGGUCCUUCAAACAAAAUCUGAAGGAGAGAGAUGUCCCUCUGGCUGGUCUCAGUGAGAUCAAAGAGCUCAUGGUGUUACUAUCUGGAGCCAGAUGUAGGCCUAAACAUCAUUUAUUGGCUUAUCCAAAUGCAGACAAAUAGCUUUCACACUUGAUUAUGAAAAUAGCACCAUUUAAUUGUCAUCAGGGAAUUUCAGACUACAUGUGUUGUUUUUUUUCUCCUCCAAGGUAAAGUGAAGAUCUUCUGAUUAACAGCUACAGUAGAAUGUGACUGAUUUAUUUGAGAACGCUGCUUUUUGCCAAGCAUGCUGCUAUAACAAAAGUACUGUUCGUUAUGACAUUGUACUGAGUCACUUGUUGAUGCUAUUUGAGGGAGAGAAUUUGGUUAAGAAACUGGAACAGGAUGUUCAUUUUAUUUCAGUCCUUGUAAUCCUGAGUCAUCCCUGAUAGCUGAUGAAAUACAGAAACUCGUAUAUUAGACAGGGCUUCUCUUAACAUAAUUUUUGGAUGCUGUAAUUUGAUAGAGGGUGAAAAAUACACAAAGCUGAUUUUAUGCAGAGAGGUUUAUUUUAGUUGUCACUCUCUGCUGAAGCACUCUUAAACUUGGUAUGUAUGCAGCAUUUUGCUGUGUCUUUAAGUAUGUUGUUGGUGGGCUGCAACACGAGUUGAUGUGUACAUAGCUCACAGCUGUGCAGGUAUUUGGGUUUUGAAAAGGCUGUUUCCACUGUUUGCUUUUUGGCUGGUUUAGGGGAUAUGGCUUUUGGUUUAGUCCCACUGGCUGCUUGUGGGCUGCUCCCACUGGUGGGUAGAGUGGGGAAUCCCAUUACGUGCAUGUGAGGCAAGGGGAAAAGGCUGUAUUCACAUUUUAACUGCAGUUUUGGAUGUGAUCUUAUCCAAGCCUGUGAACUUGCAGGGCUAUUGUCCAGGUGACUGUCGGAUUAGUAUGACCCAUCAGAUCCGUGAUACUAUCUCCUGUGGAACUGAAGCUGAGCACAGAGACUUUUCAUACUACUUUGUGUGCAUCCCUUCAGCUUAACUUCAGGGUGGCAGGCAGCAAAUCUUUAGCAGCCCAGCUUGCUUAUGGGCAGAAAAUAAAGUAUAUUGACUCAGUUUAAAGCUGCGGGAAGAAUUCAUGUUGGAAGAACAUAAUUAUUGGGUCUGGAGUCCAAGUAGGAUGCACAUUGCUCCUUCUAGAUGUGUGUGAACCAUGCAAGAGGACCUACGAAGGCUCCUUCCUCACUUAAUAGAGAAGUAGAAUGAGUAUGGGGAAUGGAGGUAAAAGCGUACUUUUAAAUCAUCUGCAUCCAAGCAGCGUAAUUCAUUCAUCCCUUCUGGCACAGUUGCUAAUUUAUAUUUAAAGCAAUGUGAAUUUCAUGAGCAUUUUAAAAAAUCAUAUUUUAAAUUCAAUUUGCUGUCAACUCAUUUGAUGUUUUAUGUAAAGUCAUUUCCCAUAAACAGGUUACUGAAUAUCAAAAGAAUUCUCAUGCAUAAUUUUUUGAAGGAAAUAAUAGUAUAAUAGAGAUGCAAGCCUGGCCCUCCUGAGUCAGAAACAGUGCAGGGAUGGCACUGCUCCUUGGUACUUCUCUUAAUGCAGUCAAAGAGUGUCCUGGGCAAGUGGCAUUUGAGAAGCUUGCAGCAGUAGUAAUAGUGUUUUUGAGCCUGCAAUAGGCUGUUCUGCAAUGGCCUAGUGAUAGAUAAUAUAUGAAGAAAGACGUCAGUGUGUUCUUUCUCAGAUAUCAGACAGAGAGUUCGAAGGAAAUGGAUUGAGAUGCUUCAAAUACAAGAGACGUUUCCAGCAGUACAGCUCAUGUGGAGCUUAAUGGACUGGGUAAUAUUAAGAGAGAUGCUGUAAAACUAAGGCAUGUUUGUUAAAAACUAUUGAAGAAAGAUGUGCUGUCUUUCCUUGGCACAGGAUUCUCGCUUGUGUUUGGAAAUUGCUGUCGUCUAGAAGGUGCGGCGCCGUAUGAAAUAGCAUCAGAACUGCCACGGAGCUGAAUCCUUCACAAAAAGCAAGAGGUUGGUCUCUGGGUGACCCCAAUUUCUCUUCCAGGUGCUGAGUAAUGUGCCCUGGGUGUGAGCAUAUAGCGUGCAAGUAAGCAGCUUGGGCUCUCGCACUGAUUUGAUGGAUUUCAAGCACAGCACAUCGGGCCAGGGAGGUUACUGCAAUAGCUUUUUAUUUAUUUAUCUGUAAUUUGAACUGGCUCCAUUGUAGAAGUGGGCUUCUCCCUCUCUUUGAAAUCUAUUAGAGGAAAAUCAUACCAUAACCCCCUGAGCUGGUACAGAGGUUUCUAGAAGGAGUUCUAUGGAAGACGCAGGGAUGGAUGAGGUUGGCCUUGCUUUUAGGUGCUGGGACUUGGCAGCAUGAACAACCACAGUGGCCCACGCCUGGGGUCCAUCACAGGUGGUCAUCAAGGUUGUGCCAGGUGUGGCCUUCCUGUCCCAUCACUCUGGCCUUGUCUGAUUAUGGCCAGGGGUUGGCUCCUGCUUUUCUGUGGGACAAACCCUGCCAGAAGCACUGUGUGUCUUUCAGCUCUGUCUGCAAGCAUGUGGCAUCCUCUGCAUUACAGGGAGACACGAUGGCUUCUUGUGCCUAUAGGUGGUGUGAGAUUGCUGCUGUUUCAUGGAAUCCAGAGCUUCUAUUUAUUUAUUUAUCCUUUAAGGAUUGCAGUCUUGCUAAUAGUGGGUUCAGAGGAAUGAAAGCUUGGUGCCGUGCCAGCUAUAAGUAACAGGUGAAUCAGAAAUGCAGCAGGGCUGCCCCUACUGACACAGCCAAAGUUUGUCAUUUGGAGCUCAGCAAAUAAAAACCAACCAAACAAACCCAGCAUUUAAAAUGAUGUAGGGAGCUCCAGUAAGUCUUUGCAGGCUAAUUCUGCAAUUGUGUAUUCUGUUGAUCAGACUGUGGGGUGUCCUAUAGGGCUUGCAGGCAGGUUGCACUGCGGCUCUGGGAAAUCUGAGCAGCCUGUUGAGAAGUGUUCUUUUUGGAAGAGAUGUGAAAUAUUACUAAGCUAUUUAAGGGUGAUGAGGCACUGGAACAGGUUGUCCAGACUGGUGGGGAAUGCCUUAUCCCUGGAGAUAUUCCAUGUCAGGCUGGGCGGUAGCUUUGAGCACCCUGACUGAGAUGUAGGUGUCCCUGUUCAUUGCAGAGGAGUUGGAAUAGGUGGUAUUUAAAGGCCCCUUUCAACUCAAAUGAUCCCGUGAAGUUUAUUCCGUGUUAAUACUUGGUUCAAUUCUUUAUUCCAAACACACCAUUGUGAAUUGCUGUGUGCAGAUCUGCCCCGCAGAACACACCUCUCUGCCCUCCAGUGUCUAAUGCAGGUAGGCUGAGAAGCCAAGGAGAGAGAAAUGUAAGCAGUGCAGCCUGUGUGCAGGCAUGUUUUCUAUUAGGGUUUGUGCCUGUGUGCUGCAGCUGGCAGUUGUCUUGCUCACAGCUGCUCAGGGGAUGGCAGUUUCUCUUCGUUGCAGCUUUCAAGUUUUGAACUGUGUCUGUUUCCUAUAGAAACAAUGACAAAAAGCAUCUUCUGGGCUGUCCCCAUCAGAACAGAAACAUACAAUUGGGGAUAACUGGGUUCUGACAGCUUUCCAGCGGUGUGGUUGCUGAUUGACCCAAGCUUCAACAGGUAGCUCAGCAGAGGAGCAGGGCUCACCAGCGUCUGUAGGCUCCGUGCCCAGCAGCACACUGCUCUCAUCAGCCUGGGAUUAGGGCACGAUGGCACUCAGCAUGAGAUGCAGGGUGAUGGUGUUGCACUGAGGCCUCUCGUGCUAAUCCUUGCUUAAUGCGGCGAUGCUGCCGUUGUUAGUGGCUGUUGCUGGACAGGAUUAAGGAAGAAAAACCUGUGAGAAGCAGGGAUUGGUCACGCAUUAUCUCCCUGUAUCUUUUAAUCUCUCAUGUGGCAAGGCCUGAUGUUUUCAAGUCUCCCUUUUGAAAGGGCAGAUAGAAACAUACUGCUGCUGUCUGGAACCUUUAAUCUUUGCAUGGAAAAUAAGCUUUCUUUGCAGAAGCAGGAUGCUUUUGCAGAUGUUCUCAGAAAUGCUGAUGUUGUGCCUUGGUUGAUACGGCCAAUAAAAAAUGAGGUCUUGUCAAUCAAAACUAUUACUUUAAUGGUAAAGGCAAAAAUGGCAAGUGCAAGAAAACCAGUGUUAGAGAAAAACGUGCCUCACUUCCUUGGUCUAAUUUAUGCAGGAAGAAUUGAGGCUUUUAUUGUGAGUCUUGAUAUCCACACACUGUUCAGUUAUGAACCGUUACUGUUUUAGUUACUGUUGGCUGCCCAGAUGAUCUUUGUCAGUUUAUUCAAGGCAUGUCAUUACUUGACUGUGUUUGGGGAGGUUGCUGCGAGCUCUGUGCUCCAGCCUGGUAGAGCUGCUGGGCUGGCUUUGGGACGUCUCUUUUCUGGAUGUUAGGGAGAAAAUUCUUCUCAGAAUGAAUGAUGAGGUUUGGAACAGGCUGCCUGGGGGGGUAGCGGAGUCACCGUCCCUGGAGGUGUAUGAGAAAGGUGUGGAUGUAGCACUGAAGGACUCUUAGUGGGUAUGGUGGGGGAUUGUUUGAUGGUUGGGCUCGAUGACCUUGCAGGUCUUUUCCAAUAUUAAUGAUUUUAUGAUUCUACUCAAUGAUUCUAUGAAUAUAGAAUUUGACUUGCAGGUGUGUACUUAAGCAUGCUUCAAGGCAUGAAGGUUUCACGUGUGCAGGUGCUGCUGGCACUGUCAGUUGCUCACACACUCAUUUCUCAUAAAGACACAAAAGGAUACAAAACCCCCCCUAUGUAUCACAUUUCUGAAACAGUAAUACAAAGAUUCCAGGGGUCUUAGUGAUUAAUUAGAUUCAAAAUGGCAAACAUGACCACCUAGCAACAAAAUCGAAUCGUAUGCGAAUAGUGCAUUAACUCAACUAGCACUCCUAUUUUGUUUCCCAUCCCUACUUUAGCCAUUGGAAGGUAGCACCGGUCUGACGCAGACCCUGCGUGUGCUUAUGGCAGAGCCUUUUCCUUCCCUGGGCAGAAGCCUCAAAGAAAGCAUCUGCUCAGAUAUCCCUAUUCUCCUACACCCUCAUUAUUAUCUCAUGACUUAAUCAUAAGCUGCCUUUAGCUCAGGUCUGCUUGUAACGUCUUUUUUUUUGCUUUUGACGCGUGGGCUUUCCUUUUAAUGUCUUGGUUGUUCGGUUCUGCGGUGAGUGAUGGGACUGAAAUACCUGCUGACAAGCAGAGGAUCUUAAAAAUUCCUUUUGAAAUAUACCUGAAAAUUGCAAAUUUGGGUCUCAGAUGCAAAAUCCAACCGCUCACCACCCAAGGCGUGAGAGAAGGCAUGGGCUUCUUGCACAAACAGGUGAGCAGCACUGGUAUAACAUGCAGCUUCUGUGUUUAAGGCUUGCUGUGCUCCCAGAUUCAGGCCUACUUUCUUACUGGGGAGUCUCAAGAUAGUCAGUAUUUUCCUUAAGGCUCAAUCUUCCAGUCCUGUGAUUAUGAGAAACUGCUUUCAUUAACUAAAAUUGGCCUGAAAGCAUGAGAGCGAUCAACUGGCAGAUGCUGCUGUCUCGAAAACUGCAAGACAAAGACACGUACCCCUACAUUUUAAGGCCUUUUGGCUUUUGGGGUUGUAAUUUCUUUCCGGGAAACCGUGGUGAUAAUUUUGGUGUGCUACUGACAACUAUUCCCAGCUGGCUUUUGUUUUUAAGGUGGCACCUGGAAGUUUUCCUCCCCCCAGUUUUACUUUUUCAGGACAUAUCUCAUUGUGAAACACCCAGUCUAUUUGAUUUUGGGAAUAUUUUUUGUUAUUUAUGAAUUCUAUAUUUGAAAUACUGUUUUUUCUUUGACUGGAAGAUGGGGACAUUUUAGCCAGCCCUCUGUGAGCAUGACUUGCUGACAAAUCCCUCACCGGGGUGUUAUUUGCUUCUAGUCGCAUCGCCCACACCCACACUGAGGUCCGUCUGCUCUCCUUUGGAUGAUGUGCAUGCAAAAAGAAAUUGGACAUCUUAAGCAUCCAUCAUUAUGUCCCCCAUAGGUGUGCAUUUUUCAUAGCAAGAAAAGAGAAAGUGUCCGAGUGGGGAAGAAAACAUGCAUUGGGAACUGGAAACCUUGGGAGCAGCGUGUUUGUAUUGUGCUCUUAGCCAGUGCUGCAGAGAUUCCGCAGUCCCCUUGUUAGCCCUUUGCUGCAUGCAGUACUUUUGUGGUUCCACUAAAUGCUGAGCUCACCUGGUUCAGAUCUAUGCACGCACUAGCGACAUGAGGAGGAGCUGCUGCUGCCCGGGUGCUGCCAGGAUACCGCCUGCUUGCUGGGGAGGUGCCAGCAUUUAUGACCGAUCUCCUCACCUUUGCCAGCAUGGUCCUGCCUCGGCUCGGCGGCUUUCGUUGGGUUUCUGUAGCACGGCCAGGCUCACUUUGCCCUCCUGUGGCUGACAGAGGAUGUUCAAGACGUCUCUAUCCCCGUGCAUCAGUGCCCUCCAGGGCUGGAGUCGGCUCAGAUUUUGCCUUCUGCUUGAAACAGUUCUGUGACGAUUGCAUUCGGUAUUUAGGAUUGCUUCUAGGGCUGCUGAUUUGUUUUGAGGAGCUGAUGAAAUACAUCAAGAGGAGACAAGACUCUGAUGUUGGUUGCUGGCUCUGGAUGUCGUUGCCUUCUCGGAUGUGGCAGAGGCUGUAAGGAAUUGCUUCUUUGACUUCUUUUCGAUGCGAAGAUGUAUACAGCGCAGCCACGGAUAAUCAAAGAUAUUUGUCUUAUCCUACAGUCAACCCAAUUAAGAUGGGAUGCAGGAGAUCGAGGUAACAACACACAAACAUGGUCUUCCCUUGCUCAGCUUUUAAUAUGGGGCUUCACUGCAAGGUGCUUGGAAAUGCUUGCAGAAGUUUGGAGGACCAGGUUAUCUGCUGUUCAAGAAAUCUUCCAUGCCGUGGGGGCUGCCUGCUCCCAAGGAGUACCUCAGUAACAGGUCCCAAAUCUGGCAACCUAAGCUGUCAUAGCAGAGCUGAUGCUGGUUUUUGCUGUGCUCUGGCCUGCUACGUGGCUGACCUUGACUGUCUGCAGCCGCUGUGGAAGAGGAAAUCCUGCAGAGCGAGCCCCACCUAGAGAGGAAAAUGCCAAGCAUGGCUUCAGUUCGUCCUUGGACUCUGCACUUUGUUGAAUAAGUCAGCAGGCUCCAACAUCUCGGUGCCUUCUGCUCAGACAGCUAUAUGGUCCAGCUGGGGCACAGGCGAGAACAGCCCUGCAAACUGCUGAGGGUGUGGGAUUAUUCCACUGCUGCAGCAAGAGAUGUGCCAGGAACAUUUGUCUCCACUAACAACAAACAUUAAGAAUAAGUAGCAUUCCUUCUGGUGAAAUACUUUCCGUUGGAAGGUAGCUGUUUGCUGCAGCUGGAGCAGGCACUGCUUCCUGCUUUUGCCCUGCUUUGCAGAGAAGACGUGUGCCCUGUGAUAGCACACAGCAAGGCACACUCGGUGUUUAGCACCGCAUCCUCAUCUCAGAUGAUAUUCAGAAACCUCUGACUUGUUCUUGGUGGGGAUGAGGCAGAGCUAUGAACUAUAAGCACCUGCGUACAUCUGGAAUAGAAGGAGUUGUGGUUUUUGACAGUUUUAUCUUACAGGGUGUGAUAUGCUCCUAGCUGGAAAGUAAUGCUCGUCUGCUGUGGCAUUUGAGCCACGUCUGUGCAGUCAGAGGGCAGGUUUUCAGUUGAUGGUGCAUGCAGCAGAGCAACCAGCAACAAUAAUAAUUGUUUUGUGUUGUUUCAGUGGUACUGUGGACCCAAUCCUAAUCUCCUCUCCUUCCAUUUCAGGGUGAGUUCUAUGCAUCUAAUAUUGGCAUCUUGUUAAUUAUCAGAAUCCUGGGUAAAAAUCAAUGGAUGUGAUGCUUUAAGUGCUGCUCCAAGCAGAAGAAGGCUGAGUGCCAGGAAGAGAAGCUGCCAAGCUGAGCUCUGACAGCAUUACUUCCUCCAGGUGGUACAUCUGAGUGGGUAACACCAGCGUUCAUCCUCUAUACGGGGAGAAUACUGAGGUAAAAAAGAAACACAAGGAAACGGGGUUGUAAAGAUGUAAGUCGUCUGCAAGGAGUCAGGAAUUCAUCAUGUACCUGGAGACAGAACAGUUGUUUAAGCAUUAGUGUGGUAUGUUGUGAGGAAGGUAGUGGAUGCCCAUGAUAACUCAUUGUUUUCCAUCUUGUUUUCUUUACUCUUCAAUGAGGAGCAGCUCCUUACAUGCUAUUGUAGAUCUACUGUAGAAUUUUUUUUUUAAUUUUCUGGGUUUCUAGUCUAAUGCAUGCUGAGAAACAGUGUAAUCUACAGGACGCCCCAUUAUUUUCAAGGAACAGUUCAGCUUUGGUAAAGCUGAUUAGCCUAGAGUGUUAGGUGAGAGUUUUUGCAGAAUUAGCAUAGUGAAGCUAUUACCAAAUUUUACCUUGCUUUUACCAAUUGUCAUAUUUUAGUGAAGUAAUUUAAUUGCUGACUGGAAGAGGAAAAUGAGUGCUUGUGUUGUUCCUCCUUUUGCUGCUUUCUUGUUUUAACAAAGACAUUUCACUACCUUGCCAAUGGAAACAGUUAAGGUAGCAUGUUGUUUCUUUCAUCACUGUGUGAUCGUGGAGCAAAAAAAUGGUGUCUCAGACCUGAAGUCCUCACCGUAGCUUUUGCAGGGGGAAGGAACAGCGUGCAGCUGAGCUGGUGUCAGAAAUGUACAUUUGCCAUGUACGAGGGGGUGACUGAAUUCUCCUUGUACGCUACUCUAUUGGAGAAGCUUCUGUGUAUUGCUGGAAGAAAAAAAAUGCAGGUUGAAGAAGAAAACACUGCUGCAAGGAAAACUCGAAUAGUAAUGCUUAAGUUGUAGGCAGUGCUCCGCUUACCUGGCUGUUGUCCAGCUUUUGUAUGAUACAGUCUCUGUGUUUGUUGCAUAUGUCCCUUAUCAUUAGCUUUGGAAGCUAAUAUUUGAGAUAGUCCUCCACGAAGAUGAACAGGAAGAACUGUUUGAGUGAGAAUUAAUAUAUCGCAUGUGCUACUCCUCAGAACAGUAGCUGGGUGCUUUACCUUGAAUUUAAGGAAGUGUAUUGCAGAUGUUCUAUUUGUAUUCCAAGAAGAGUUUUUUAUAGGCUACGCUGCAUACUGAAAUGAUGUGAGGAAGCCAGAGCAAAGAAGGUGAACUUGGCUGUAAUGAAAGGCUAAGCGUGCAGUAGUUAGUUUGAAUACAUCAGUUGCCUCUGUAGUACUCUCAAGUCAGGCUUGUAGACUUUGAGGAAGCAAAGAGGCUGUCGACCUUUAUGAGAAGCUCUAACAGGGCUUGCGUAUUCCUAUUAAGACAGUUUCUGUGAAGCCUGUCUGUACAAGGGGACUCUGGUCACCCUCAUCUUCUCUGUUGCCGAGACGCCACUGUCUUCAGCGCAUUCAUCCCAGAACUUCAUCCUUGUAUGCAAGCGUGGAAUAGAGCUCCCCAUACUUACCUCUCGCUAAAUUUAAACACUGAUGGUUUUCUUUUUCAAAAUGGCACUUGUGGGUUUUUUAUGCACAAAUGAGGUGAGAUCUCCUUGCAAGCAUAGGCACAAGGACUUGGGCUGUGUGGCUGGCUGAGAGAAAGGUAAAUAAAUGACUGAUGAAAAACAUGAUUCUAAGAUGCUACUGCUGAUGGAUGCCUGGAGCACCUCCCUUCUUCCACCACAAAACUACGACAGAAACCCAUCCAACAAAAAAAAAAAAAAAAACCAACAAAAAAAAGCCGCAAGCCUGGUUAGGUGUCUGCAAAGGUUCUCAUAGGCUAGUGGAAUCCUGGUGAAAAACAACCUGUGAAUGAAAAUCAAUGUUGUCAUUGUAAUCCAUUGUGGACAGAAAAGCAAGAAGCUUGGAAGGCUGCAGUAGGCACAGCAGCAAAGCAGUAUAGUGAAGCAGCAACAGGAGAUGAAUGCUGUGUUAAAUCUGUUAUGAAGCUAUAGUAUACAGAAAAUGUGGCAGCCUUCUCCUUAUCAGGUAGCAUUCACAUAGCACACAAAAAUCUGUAAAUAUCAUAUGGCAUAAAGGGGAUUAUCAUGCAAAAGAAUUUCCUAGCAGUCAGGAAAGGAAGGACCACUUCUCACGAAGGGCGCGACUGAGCUAUUGAAAUGAGAACAAUAACAGCCCUCAGUGCUGAUGACCGUGGAAGUUUGAUGUCUGCAGGUUCUUGCCAGGUUCACCGUGUGCUUUGGUAAGAGCUGGAAGGAAGCGAAGUCGCGGCGACCUGGUGGAAUGCAUUAGGUGGAGAAGAGGAAACUGCCUUUCCUGUCAAAUAAUUUUUUCAGCUAACGCUUUUUUACUGUGUGCGACCAGCUGUAUAGUUGAGCGUAAAUAGUGCUCACAGAAAGGUGGUAGAGCUCAUUUAGUAAUUGUUAAUCUUAAAUACUGUAACGAGGUCAAAAUAGUAAGUUGUACAAAGACAACGGGAGUGGGCACCAAGCGUUGUGGUACACUGCGGUGAAUAAGAUUUAUAGGGGCAAAAUGUUUUUUCACAUUGCUCCCAUAGGGAUGCAUCAGAGUAACUAAGUCACACUCUGUUAUUAGAAGCAAAUCAGGUAAGUUCCAAGUAGAGUUUUUUAGGUUUUUCACUAUAGCUUUAGUACUUAAUGCACUUAGAAACAAUUUCCCAGAUUUUUUUAACGAUAGCCUACAGAUCUGAUUUUCUUGGAUUAUUUGGUAUAGUUUUGGCAUCAACAGACCAACAGUGAAUAAAGCUCUCCUGAGACUGCCUUGCUUGUGCAGAGAAAACACUGGCUCAGUUGCGUAACAGAUGAUCUCACCCUGCCCAUGCUUUGCUGCCCAGUUGUCACGUGGGCGCAGUUAGCAUGGCACGCUGUUCUAGCUGCUAAUGGACGUGGAGCAUUAUCUGGGUAGCAUCUGGCAUUUGCCAUGUCUUCCAGGUGGUUAGAAGGACAGGCGCAGUGAGUUUGCGUCUGUCUCAGUGCGAACAUGGCCUUUUUCUGAGAAAUGUUGUGCAAAGCAGAGUAUGAAAGGCUUGCAAAGGGUUUUUGUGAAAUCCUUAAAAUGUGAAACUUUUUCUGUAUUGCAGAACAACUGCUAUCAGAGCUUCUAUUUGAUUAACUCUUCUACUCUAUUGAGAAACAGCAACUGAAAGUCUCCCAACUCCGACGUUGCCCUAAACGCUUCUGGACCUCUCACUCGUUGGCACAGAUUUUGACUGCAAUCUCAUGAAUGGACACCGCCUAAAUCUGUUAAGUUUUUCAAGACAGAUGCUGAAUAGUCUGAUGGUGUAGGCACCAUAAGAAAAGUUAAAGUUUUGAGCAACUUUGUCUUUAUAGAACAAUAGAAUUAGUGAUAAGGGUGCUAUUGUCUUCAAACUUAUUAAGACUAGGGUACCAAGUAUGUGUGGUGUGUAUUUAUAUAUAGAUAGGUAGAUGUAGAUAUAGAAACAUGCUUUUUUUUUAGAUUUUAUAUUGGUGUGCUAAUCCUUGCACUAGAUAAUGAGGCAGAGUUAAUGGUCAUGCAGAGAGACAGCCAUCUCUCAGGGGUAAACAUUUGCACAUAUAAGAUACAUUUCUCCCUGCAGGAUUGCAUGAUAAAGAAGCUGUGCAACUCCUGAGUUUCCACUGUUGUUUUCAUCUCUCAACUCGUGUCCCCCUGUAGAGGACCACUUUCUCAUGAAAAGAAAAUAGAAAGCAGUAGUCAAACAGCAUCUAGCACCUGCAUCUCUAUGCAACAAAUGAGCUGACAAAAGAGGCAGCGGGUCCCGAUACUGGGAGACAUUUGUAACCCUCGUGUGCUCAGCCCUAAGGAGCCUGCUAUGAACUGAGGCAUCAGACCAGGCCAGCCGCAGAAGUUCCUGCCCACCUCCACCGUUCUGUUGCAUUGGCAUUUGUUUGCCUGGCCCCAAAUCAGCUUGCAAAUUUCAGUGAUUAUAGUAUGUUUUUUCAUCCUAUAUAACAAAGAACUAGGGAAACAUCAUUUUGAAUUUUGUCAAUUAUAUCUACCUACUAACAGGUUGUCUCUUAAUUUAAAUCUUUCCUAUUUAAACCACAUGCUCUCUGAAAAUCCCUGACCGGUUCCCAAUGCUGAUGUGGAACUUGUGUCUAACACCCUGUUUUUAUUCUUUAUCCUGACUCUCCUAAAAAUUAUGGAACUUAGCCAGUACUAUUCUGGCCCAGUUCAUUUCCAGAAUAUAUUGCAAUACUCUCCUUAACCAUAGCUGAAAAGCUUAAGCCUCUGUUACAACUAGCAUUAUGGGCAGAGGACCGCGACUGACCGGUCACUGCGACAGAAUCAGCAUGACCAACUACAAAUAUUGCUCUGAACAACAUACCUAUCUGAAACAGUGACACUAAUGAUACCACAGGGAUCCCAGGGAAAGGAGCAGGGUUACACAGAAACUUGAGAGUUACAAAAAGAUUGACAUUCAUGAAUAUCUCAAAACCAAAAAAAGUAAAAACUUACCUAUUCCAGAAGAAGAAAGGUAAGAUCGGGCUUAACCGGAAAAUGAAACUAGAAAACUCUUUCUGGUGCUACACAAACCACGGUUUGAAGGUAGGUUGAUGCUUCCUUGUGUCCGUUUCCUCCUGAGCUUCUCAAUCCUUCCAGAUUUAUUUGUUAAUAACCUUCUAGAGGGCUAAAGAGAGAGGGCCAGUGUGCAACGAAAGGAUCAUUAGCUGUCCCAGGGAGUAAUCGUCCCAAUGAACAGUGAAUUAUAGUUUACCACCUGCAAUUGAAGCUUUCUUCAACUGCCUGUUCUGCUGCCUGAUAGGCUUAUUUUCCAUUUCCUGUAUGUGCUACAUUUCCUAACUUCUUUACAUCAUAUAAUAGGCAUUGGUAGAUUUACAUAAUGCUGUUUUCCUUGUGUGUAAGCGAAGCUUGCUCUUUUCAGAUGGUACUUCGAGCAGGUCGCACCCCAAAUACAAUUUUAGCAUCUACCCAUAUAAUUAAAACUCUCAUCAAGGCAGUUAUUUCAACCUUCUGAGGCAAAGUUCCCACAGGCAACGGUUGUGCUUCAAUUACCUGGUCAGUAGAAGUUACUGCAUAUCCUGCCUUACAGACUCCCUCAGACACAGCUUCUGACCCCGGCUCUCUCUCCCACUCUGACAGUUCUGCUUGCAGGGGAAUGGUGCAGGGUGUUGCUCUCAUGUCAGUGCAGGUAAACUCACUUUAACCCUUUUUCCUCUGUAAAUGCUUCCUCUAUUUCUAUGCUCAGAUACACUUCCACAUUCCCUCAAGUACACUUUCAUAUAUCAUUAACAAUUACACUUUCUUAUACCAUCAAAACAGUUUGUC